UACGUAGGGUGCGAGCGUUAAUCGGAAUUACUGGGCGUAAAGAGUGCGUAGGCGGUUCGUUAUGUCUGCUGUGAAAGCCCCCGGGCUUAACCCGGGAAUGGCAGUGGAAACUGGCGGGCUUGAGUGUGGCAGAGGGGGGUGGAAUUCCGCGUGUAGCAGUGAAAUGCGUAGAUAUGCGGAGGAACACCGAUGGCGAAGGCAAUCCCCUGGGCCUGCACUGACGCUCAUGCACGAAAGCGUGGGGAGCAAACAGG
rnacentral:rRNA from 1 species